AAUUAUACAGCGAAACUGCGAAUGGCUCAUUAUAUAAGUUAUCGUUUAUUUGAUAGUACCUUACUACUUGGAUAACCGUGGUAAUUCUAGAGCUAAUACAUGCUGAAAAUCCCGACUUCGGAAGGGAUGUAUUUAUUAGAUUCAAAACCAAUGCCCUCUGGGCUCACUGGUGAUUCAUGAUAACUCUUCGAAUCGCAUGGCCUUGCGCCGGCGAUGGUUCAUUCAAAUUUCUUCCCUAUCAACUUUCGAUGUUUGGGUAGUGGCCAAACAUGGUUGCAACGGGUAACGGAGGGUUAGGGCUCGACCCCGGAGAAGGAGCCUGAGAAACGGCUACUACAUCCAAGGAAGGCAGCAGGCGCGCAAAUUACCCAAUCCCGACACGGGGAGGUAGUGACAAUAAAUACUGAUACAGGGCUCUUUUGGGUCUUGUAAUUGGAAUGAGUACAAUUUAAAUCCCUUAACGAGGAACAAUUGGAGGGCAAGUCUGGUGCCAGCAGCCGCGGUAAUUCCAGCUCCAAUAGCGUAUAUUAAAGUUGUUGUGGUUAAAAAGCUCGUAGUUGAACCUUGGGCCUGGCUGGCCGGUCCGCCUCACCGCGUGUACUGGUCCGGCCGGGCCUUUCCCUCUGUGGAACCCCAUGCCCUUCACUGGGUGUGGCGGGGAAACAGGACUUUUACUUUGAAAAAAUUAGAGUGCUCCAGGCAGGCCUAUGCUCGAAUACAUUAGCAUGGAAUAAUGAAAUAGGACGCGCGGUUCUAUUUUGUUGGUUUCUAGGACCGCCGUAAUGAUUAAUAGGGACAGUCGGGGGCAUCAGUAUUCAAUUGUCAGAGGUGAAAUUCUUGGAUUUAUUGAAGACUAACUACUGCGAAAGCAUUUGCCAAGGAUGUUUUCAUUAAUCAGGAACGAAAGUUAGGGGAUCGAAGACGAUCAGAUACCGUCGUAGUCUUAACCAUAAACUAUGCCGACUAGGGAUCGGACGAUGUUAUUUUUUGACUCGUUCGGCACCUUACGAGAAAUCAAAGUGCUUGG
rnacentral:rRNA from 1 species